AUGAAAAUUCAUACUGCAUGUCCUGUGUGUCAGGUGUAUACUGAAGACAUUCGGCAUGCUUUAUUUGAAUGUGCCCGAGCGCAGAUGGUUUGGGAAAAUCUGGGUUUAUUAGAAAAAGUUGAAAGAACUCUGAAUGUUGAUAGGGCCGGUUCAGCUGUACUGGAGGAGCUGAUUUGUACUUCGAUUGAUGACCCACUAUAUCUUGCUCAAACCCCUGUAUCAUGUUUGAUUGCGCUGUCCAGUUGGUUCCUAUGGUGGGAAAGGAGACAGUGUGCAAAAGGAGAAAAGAUACCUGAACCUGAACGUUCUGCCUUAUCAAUACAAGCUCUUGCUCUUAACUUUUGUCGGGCGGGCACUGUUCAACUUCCGGCAAGAGAGAUAAUGUGGGCUAAACCACAGCAGGGUACAGUCAAGCUGAAUAUAGAUGCAUCAUUUGAGUAUGAAGGGAGUACUGCUUCCAUUGGCACGAUCUUGAGAGAUGAUGCUGGCGAUUUUAUUGCAGCUGAGGUCUCCUAUAUGGGUAAAACAAUUGAUGCAUAUACAGCCGAAGCUAUGGCUAUGAAGAAGGGUCUGCAACUUGCAGAUUCUCUGGGUAUUCAUAAACUGCUAGUUCACACAGAUUGUGCAGAAUUGGUCAAGGAGAUUAAUCAAGGAGCAGUUAAUUCAGUAGCAGCCCCUAUUCUUAAUGAUUGCUUUGAGAUUUGUAAUAAUUUUGGCCAUGUUAGUUUUGAGCAUUGUGCGCGUGAUUCGAAUCGCGUGGCUCAUGAGCUGGCUAGAAGGGCUAGGGUUGAUCCUCCGGGUGUGUGGACGGACAAUCCUCCCUCUUUUAUCCGUAGCCUUAUUUUGGAUGAUUUGUCGUUAUUUGAGAUGAAAUAA
rnacentral:rRNA from 1 species